AUGCUCACUUCAGCAACACAUAUACUAAAAUUGGAAUGAUGUAGAGAUUAGUAUGGCCCCUACUUAAGGAUGACAUGCAAAUUCAUGAAGUAAUCCAUAUGUUU
rnacentral:snRNA from 1 species